rnacentral:tRNA from 1 species
GGGUCAGUAGCUCAAUCGGUAGAGCAGCGGUCUCCAAAGCCGCGCGUUGGAGGUUCGAGCCCUCCCUGGCCUGC